AUUGAACGCUGGCGGCAGGCUUAACACAUGCACGUCGAGCGAGCGGCGGACGGGUGAGUAAUGUCUGGGAAAAUGCCUGAUGGAGGGGGAUACCUACUGGAAACGGUAGCUAAUACCGCAUACCAUCCGAUGUUCCCAGAUGGGAUUAGCUAGUCGGUUGGGUAAUGGCUCACCGAGGCGACGAUCCCUAGCUGGUCUGAGAGGAUAACCAGCCACACUGGAACUGAGACACGUUCCAGACUCCGACGGGAGGAAGCAGUGGGGAAUAUUGCACAAUGGGCGCAAGCCGGAUGCAGCAAUGCCGCGUGUGUGAAGAAGGCCUUCGGGUUGUAAAGCACUUUCAGCGAGGAGGCGUUACUCGCAGAAGAAGCACCGGCUAACUCCGUGCCAGCAGCCGCGGUAAUAC
rnacentral:rRNA from 1 species